GUAAUUAGCUGGUGACUCAGGUUAAGAGAGGAACUCUGCUCAUUACAGGAGAGAAGAAGAGCCUGGGUCAGGAAGCUAAAGGCCCAGUGGGGGUGCAGGAUGAGAAAGCACUGGAUGUGUGGAGCUGUGGGCUUGAAGAGUUGAAGAGUGAAGAAACAGAAAGAAGUGAUGACACUGUCUAACAGCUGCUUAACACACACUGUGUUCACUUUAUUUGUUUUUCUCUCUAUAAAUCUUCUUUGUCUUGCAACACUACUGCUGUAGAUCUGCUGUGUGUUUCAGGCAUUGCAAGUGUACAAUCCAAGUGAAGGUUUCUUUCAGAUAAAGCCUGUUGUGUAGAAGACAAUUAACAUGUUUACCCCCUUUUCAAAGAAAAGUCCUUGCACACAUCCGCCUGCCUUGCCAGUUAUUGAAAUUGGCCUCAAAAGAAGGAAAGGAAAGCAUGGAAAAAUGAGCAGGCAGUGUGUUUUCCUUCAAGCCUGUGGGGAAGCCGGACGUGGUGUGUGGGUGCGCUCAGAUAGCGGUGCUUAUCGUGCCCCUGUCUCUCCGUCUUCCUCCUUCCACUUCUCUUCCGACUUCUGGCAUGGGAGGAAGGUUAUGAUGUCAGACCACCGCCGGAGAAAGACUUAAAUGUGAGACAGAGAUAAAAAGAGUGACUAAGAUUCAGAGAGAGAAAAAGAAAAGGAAGAAUGAGAGCAGGAGAGUGACACAGUGCCAAAAGGCAGCGUGGUCAUGUGUGAGGGACUCUGAUCAACUUGCUCUGGCAGGAAAUGAGCACUGUAACAGAAUGCUGCAUGGUGCUGAUGCCGGAGGGCAAAACCCAAAACCUCACAAUGAACAACUCACCCUUUCUCUCUUUCUCUCCUACCCACUCAUCUUCCAUAUCUGGAAUCCCUCUUCCAUCAUUAGCCCUACCUCAGAAUAACCCCCCCACCCACCUUACCCCCCACCCAAACAGGAAAUGAAAACCAUUUUAAAAUCAUUUGGAAACAACAGGGGCUUAAAAUGGGGAAAUAAUCAGCGUGGGACACUAAACAUGAGUAAGUGAGUGAGUGAGUGAGAGAGAGAGAGAGAGAGAGAGAGAGAGAGAGAGAGAGAGAAGAUGGCCAGGCAAAUGGACAUAGAUAAAAAAAGAUGCUCUUUAGUCUGAGAGUUUAUUUUUCAACCACCUCAUACUGUUCGCUUUCUUCUUUUCUCCAUCAUUCCAUCCAUCACAAGAGAAAUCACACUGCAGGAGGCAACCAGCAGACCUCUGAUGCUCCAUCUCCCUAUGCCACACCAGUCUGACCCUGUCCUGACCUUACACAAAAGGUGCCACCUAGGAGGCGCUCUCCCCCUUCCACUGCUCUGAUAACAUCUACUCUGACAUUUCCUUGGCGCAAUCUGAAAGGGUGCAGGGGCCUGCCAUUGCACUGUAGUGCCCCCACCUCUCUGUCUCUGGACAGUCUAUGGGCAGUGCAGACAAAAGAUUAGACCUGCCAAACUUAGAUUAGACUUUUAAGAGUUUUAUGUGACACAAGGUAUACUAGAAAAAGGCCAUUUGGGCUCUGAUCCUAAGGAUUUUGAAGAUAAAAAAAUAAAUAAAUUCUGUCUGAACAGGGCAUAACUGAGGAUUCAGUGAGUACUGUAUAUGUAUAUAGUAGUGUAUAUGUGUGACACUAGGAACAUGACAUACAUAGCUGUGUGUGCUCCUUAUAUGUUGCCCUUAUUCAUUCAAAAAAUGCUUUCAAGCUAAGAUGCCUUCAAAUAUAAUGUAG
ensembl:lncRNA